CGCUGGCGGCGUGCCUAAUACAUGCAAGUCGAACGAACGGAUAAAGAGCUUGCUCUUUUGAAGUUAGUGGCGGACGGGUGAGUAACACGUGGGUAACCUGCCUCACAGCUGGGGAUAACAUCGAGAAAUCGAUGCUAAUACCGAAUGUGCUGAACAUCAUAAGAUGUUCAAGUGAAAGACGGUUUCGGCUGUCACUGUGAGAUGGACCCGCGCUGGAUUAGCUAGUUGGUAAGGUAAUGGCUUACCAAGGCGACGAUCCAUAGCCGACUUGAGAGGGUGAUCGGCCACAUUGGGACUGAGACACGGCCCAAACUCCUACGGGAGACAGCAGUAGGGAAUCUUCGGCAAUGGACGAAAGUCUGACCGAGCAACGCCGCGUGAGCGAAGAAGGCCUUCGGGUCGUAAAGCUCUGUUGUUAGAGAAGAACAUGGGUGAGAGUAACUGUCCACCCCUUGACGGUAUCUAACCAGAAAGCCACGGCUAACUACGUG
rnacentral:rRNA from 1 species